rnacentral:rRNA from 3 species
GGCUCGUGCGUCGAUGAAGAGCGCAGCCAGCUGCGUGAAUUAAUGUGAAUUGCAGGACACACUGAACAUCGACAUCUUGAACGCACAUGGCGGCUCUUGCUCACUGCAAGGGCCACGCCUGUCCGAGGGUCGGC